rnacentral:rRNA from 1 species
CAGCAGCCGCGGUAACACGGAGGGUGCAAGCGUUAAUCGGAAUUACUGGGCGUAAACCGCACGCAGGCGGUUUGUUAAGUCAGAUGUGAAAUCCCCGAGCUUAACUUGGGAACUGCAUUUGAAACUGGCAAGCUAGAGUCUUGUAGAGGGGGGUAGAAUUCCAGGUGUAGCGGUGAAAUGCGUAGAGAUCUGGAGGAAUACCGGUGGCGAAGGCGGCCCCCUGGACAAAGACUGACGCUCAGGUGCGAAAGCGUGGGGAGCAAACAGGAUUAGAUACCCCAGUAGUCCCUGUCUCUUAUAA